AUGGGGCACAUGAAGAAUGUGGGCAUUGUGUAUGUUGAGUCUAGGCAAGUGAUCAAAUCUGAGCUAGCACACAACCUGUCUCUCAUAUACAAAACUAACUGGCCCUGUCAAGUAAGGAAACUAGAUGACUGGACCUUUCUAGUCAAGUUCCCUCCACAUAUCCCUGUUGAACAAGUGGAUGGAUACCCCAUGUUUGGACUUCCAGAAAUGGAAGGAGUCACAGUUAAGGUAGUGGUGUGGAAAGGAGAAUUAGAACAUCAUAGUGAACUCCAAAAAGUCUGGGUCCAAUUGAGAGGAGUGCCCCCUACUUGGGCUGAAUGGGCAGUCCUAGAACAAUUUGCAUCUAUCGUUGGUUCACUGAUUGAUGUGGAUUGGCAAGGUAACUUCAGACCCUUCUUUGAAGUGGUCAGGAUCAAAAUCAGAUGCAGAGACCACACCAAAGUACCUGCUGAUAGGAUUUUUGGGAUAGGGGACAAGCUCUACAAGAUUCUUAUCAAAGUGGAGCCACCUGAGGAGGAUUUUGAGGAUGAUGAUCUUCUAGAUGAUGACCUAGAGGGAAAUAGGAAAGAAGCUGAAGGAUCAGGCCCAGGUGCUGAUGAUGGUAACACCACCAAUAGUAGCAAGGGUGGGGGAACAAGCAGCUCCACAUCCUCUCUAACAAGCAGCGAAAACCCUGGAACUAGUUCUACAACCAACUCAAGGCAAAAAGCUAUGGAGUACCUCAAGCAACUGCCUCAUCCACUCUCAAUGGACCACACGUAUUCCUUGCUGCAGGAAAUGGAACUGAUGGGAGAGGAUGAGGAUGAUGAGGACAUGGUAGAUGAGAUUGCUGAAGAAGAAGACUUGGAGUUAGGUAACAAUGUUGAAGUGGUGUUUAGCCCACAAACACAUCACACUCCUGCCACAGAUGCUCACUUAAGGAACAUGGUCCCUGCAAAACAACAAUGGGGCCCGAUACUGGCCUCGAGGAAGAGUAAUAGAGUUGAUGUAGGAGACAUGACUAUGCUGGAAAUUGCUAUGAACACCAAGAAAGUGUAG
rnacentral:rRNA from 1 species